rnacentral:rRNA from 1 species
ACGAACGCUGGCGGCGUGCUUAACACAUGCAAGUCGAACGGGCCUUGUCCCCUUUUUUUUUGGGGGUGGGGUUAGUGGCGAACGGGUGAGUAACACGUGAGUAACCUGCCCCUCACUUCUGGAUAACCGCUUGAAAGGGUGGCUAAUACGGGGUGUUCUGGCCUGCUCGCAUGGGUGGGUUUGGAAAGAUUCGACCGGUUUUGGUUGUUUUGGUGGGGGAUGGGCUCGCGGCCUAUCAGCUGGUUGGUGGGGUGAUGGCCUGCCAAGGCUUUGACGGGUAGCCGGCCUGAGAGGGUGGGCGGUCACACUGGGACUGAGACACGGCCCAGACUCCUACGGGAGGCAGCAGUGGGGAAUAUUGCACAAUGGGCGCAAGCCUGAUGCAGCGACGCCGCGUGAGGGAUGGAGGCCUUCGGGUUGUGAACCUCUUUCGCCAGUGAAGAAGGUCCUGCUCUUUGUGGUGGGGUUGACGGUAGCUGGGUUAAUGAAGCGCCGGCUAACUACGUG